rnacentral:rRNA from 1 species
CUGCCGCCGGCGACCGGCGCACGGGUGAGUAACACGUAUGCAACCUGGCCGUGACAGAUGGAUAACCGGGAGAAAUCCCGCCUAAUACAACAUAAUGCCGGGAGGGGACACUCCCCUGCCGGCCAAAGGGGGCGACCCCGGUCACGGAUGGGCAUGCGGCGCAUUAGGUAGUUGGUGGGGCAACGGCCCACCAAGCCGACGAUGCGUAGGGGUUCUGAGAGGAAGGUCCCCCACAUUGGAACUGAGACACGGUCCAAACUCCUACGGAAGGCAGCAG